GUUGGACACUCAACCAACUGAGCUACACAGGUGCUCCUCUUUUUUAUUUCAUUCAUUUCUGCUUUUAUAUUUUAUUUCCACCUUCCUGCUUGCUUUGAAUUUAAUGUUCUCUCUUAUAUUUUAUUAAAGUGGGAGAUGAUAUCAUUGACUUGGGACUUUUCUUCUUUUUCUAUUUUAGGUAUUCUAAGGCUUUAAGUUUUCCUCUAAGUGUCCUGUGUUGGAUGUAUCCCCAUAAAUUCUGUCUAGCUGGGAAGGACCUUGAAAGGCAGAGGAAAAUUUUUCAUCCCGGACACCUGGCCUAGUUGGUAGUACACUUUAACACACUGGAUGCUGCUUGUCACAAACAUAGCUGUGGCUGGGAGAUCCUUGGGACAUCUGACCUAGAGCCGACAGAAGCCUCCAGAACCACCCAUUCCCCGACAAUGCAGCUAUAUUCCCAACCUCAUCAGUCAUCACAUCCAUGACAGUUGCUCAGUUACAAUCAAGAUCACCUCUCUGAAAGUUCCAUACACUUGAUCACUGCACUUACCGUUCCCUGGACCUACUUUAUGUCUGUUCAUCUAAGCUAUAGUUUCUUCAAAACCUACCUCAUCUGUGAAGAUUUCCUAGUGCCACUCCAAAGAGAGAUGAAUCCUGGGUGAUACUAGAUGCCAUGUGUUGAAGAUAUCAAGGCUCCUGUCAACCUGAAAAGGCUAUUGUGCCAACCCCUUCACUUCACUACUGUCAUGAACCCAGUGACCCACCAGAGGACUGGACAGUUUAAGGCCAGCUCCAGAAACAAAUGGAAGACAGUUCAAGUACUUAAUAUAAAAACCUUUUUAAAUUUCUCUUCCUCCCUCCCUCCCUCCCUCCCUCUUUCUUUUCUUUCUUUCUUUCUUUCUCUUCCUUCCUUCCUUUCUUUCUUUCUUUCUUUCUUUCUUUCUUUCUUUCUUUUUCUUUCUUUCUUUCUUUCUUUCUUUCUUUCUUAUUGUUGGCCCCUAGCAACAACUCAGUUCCAUUUGGUUCAGCCACCUGAGAACCAAGUGAACUAUGUGCCAGGUACUGUUCUAGGGCCUCUUCAUAUAGAGAUAACAUAUGAGGAGGAUCCUAUGACCAAUUUGGAUUUAAAAAGCUUUUUCUAAUAUCACUCUCAAUCCAUGUGUACUCACUAUGUGUUUUUCUAUAAUCCUCUUUCCAGAGCUUAUCUGUGUAUAUAUAAGGAUUGUAUUCUAUUGGAUUCAAAUAUUUCUUACGCCUUUUUUUUUGAAGAAUAAAAGAUUGAAGUCAAGA